GAUGAAGAACGCAGCGAAAUGCGAUAAGUAAUGUGAAUUGCAGAAUUCCGUGAAUCAUCGAAUCUUUGAACGCACAUUGCGCCCCCUGGUAUUCCGGGGGGCAUGCCUGUCCGAGCGUCAUUGCAACCUUCAAGCGCGGCUUGUGUGUUGGGUCUCGUCCCCCGUGGACGGGCCCGAAAGGCAGUGGCGGCGUCCCGACAUGGUGCCCGAGCGUAUGGGAAUCCUCUUCCGCUCGAAUCGGCCCAUGCGGCGCUGGUCGUAACCAAAUUUUUUACCGGUUGACCUCGGAUCAGGUAGGGAUACCCGCUGAACUUAAGCAUAUCAAUAAGCGGAGGG
rnacentral:misc_RNA from 1 species